rnacentral:rRNA from 1 species
GGUCAAGUGAAGAAGCGCAUACGGUGGAUGCCUUGGCAGUCAGAGGCGAUGAAAGACGUGGUAGCCUGCGAAAAGCUUCGGGGAGUCGGCAAACAGACUUUGAUCCGGAGAUCUCUGAAUGGGGGAACCCACCUAGGAUAACCUAGGUAUCUUGUACUGAAUCCAUAGGUGCAAGAGGCGAACCAGGGGAACUGAAACAUCUAAGUACCCUGAGGAAAAGAAAUCAACCGAGAUUCCCUUAGUAGUGGCGAGCGAACGGGGAUUAGCCCUUAAGCUUCAUUGAUUUUAGCGGAACGCUCUGGAAAGUGCGGCCAUAGUGGGUGAUAGCCCCGUACGCGAAAGGAUCUUUGAAGUGAAAUCGAGUAGGACGGAGCACGAGAAACUUUGUCUGAACAUGGGGGGACCAUCCUCCAAGGCUAAAUACUACUGACUGACCGAUAGUGAACCAGUACCGUGAGGGAAAGGCGAAAAGAACCCCGGAGAGGGGAGUGAAAUAGAACCUGAAACCGUAUGCGUACAAGCAGUGGGAGCCUACUUGUUAGGUGACUGCGUACCUUUUGUAUAAUGGGUCAGCGACUUAUAUUCAGUGGCAAGCUUAACCGUAUAGGGUAGGCGUAGCGAAAGCGAGUCUUAAUAGGGCGUUUAGUCGCUGGGUAUAGACCCGAAACCGGGCGAUCUAUCCAUGAGCAGGUUGAAGGUUAGGUAACACUGACUGGAGGACCGAACCCACUCCCGUUGAAAAGGUAGGGGAUGACUUGUGGAUCGGAGUGAAAGGCUAAUCAAGCUCGGAGAUAGCUGGUUCUCCUCGAAAGCUAUUUAGGUAGCGCCUCAUGUAUCACUCUGGGGGGUAGAGCACUGUUUCGGCUAGGGGGUCAUCCCGACUUACCAAACCGAUGCAAACUCCGAAUACCCAGAAGUGCCGAGCAUGGGAGACACACGGCGGGUGCUAACGUCCGUCGUGAAAAGGGAAACAACCCAGACCGCCAGCUAAGGUCCCAAAGUUGUGGUUAAGUGGUAAACGAUGUGGGAAGGCUUAGACAGCUAGGAGGUUGGCUUAGAAGCAGCCAUCCUUUAAAGAAAGCGUAAUAGCUCACUAGUCGAGUCGGCCUGCGCGGAAGAUGUAACGGGGCUCAAACCACACACCGAAGCUGCGGGUGUCACGUAAGUGACGCGGUAGAGGAGCGUUCUGUAAGCCUGUGAAGGUGAGUUGAGAAGCUUGCUGGAGGUAUCAGAAGUGCGAAUGCUGACAUGAGUAACGACAAUGGGUGUGAAAAACACCCACGCCGAAAGACCAAGGGUUCCUGCGCAACGUUAAUCGACGCAGGGUUAGUCGGUUCCUAAGGCGAGGCUGAAAAGCGUAGUCGAUGGGAAACAGGUUAAUAUUCCUGUACUUCUGGUUACUGCGAUGGAGGGACGGAGAAGGCUAGGCCAGCUUGGCGUUGGUUGUCCAAGUUUAAGGUGGUAGGCUGAAAUCUUAGGUAAAUCCGGGGUUUCAAGGCCGAGAGCUGAUGACGAGUCGUCUUUUAGAUGACGAAGUGGUUGAUGCCAUGCUUCCAAGAAAAGCUUCUAAGCUUCAGGUAACCAGGAACCGUACCCCAAACCGACACAGGUGGUCGGGUAGAGAAUACCAAGGCGCUUGAGAGAACUCGGGUGAAGGAACUAGGCAAAAUGGCACCGUAACUUCGGGAGAAGGUGCGCCGGCUAGGGUGAAGGAUUUACUCCGUAAGCUCUGGCUGGUCGAAGAUACCAGGCCGCUGCGACUGUUUAUUAAAAACACAGCACUCUGCAAACACGAAAGUGGACGUAUAGGGUGUGACGCCUGCCCGGUGCCGGAAGGUUAAUUGAUGGGGUUAGCGCAAGCGAAGCUCUUGAUCGAAGCCCCGGUAAACGGCGGCCGUAACUAUAACGGUCCUAAGGUAGCGAAAUUCCUUGUCGGGUAAGUUCCGACCUGCACGAAUGGCGUAACGAUGGCGGCGCUGUCUCCACCCGAGACUCAGUGAAAUUGAAAUCGCUGUGAAGAUGCAGUGUAUCCGCGGCUAGACGGCAAGACCCCGUGAACCUUUACUGUAGCUUUGCACUGGACUUUGAGCCUGCUUGUGUAGGAUAGGUGGGAGGCUUUGAAGCGUGGACGCCAGUUCGCGUGGAGCCAUCCUUGAAAUACCACCCUGGCAUGCUUGAGGUUCUAACUCUGGUCCGUAAUCCGGAUCGAGGACAGUGUAUGGUGGGCAGUUUGACUGGGGCGGUCUCCUCCUAAAGAGUAACGGAGGAGUACGAAGGUGCGCUCAGACCGGUCGGAAAUCGGUCGCAGAGUAUAAAGGCAAAAGCGCGCUUGACUGCGAGACAGACACGUCGAGCAGGUACGAAAGUAGGUCUUAGUGAUCCGGUGGUUCUGUAUGGAAGGGCCAUCGCUCAACGGAUAAAAGGUACUCCGGGGAUAACAGGCUGAUACCGCCCAAGAGUUCAUAUCGACGGCGGUGUUUGGCACCUCGAUGUCGGCUCAUCACAUCCUGGGGCUGAAGCCGGUCCCAAGGGUAUGGCUGUUCGCCAUUUAAAGUGGUACGCGAGCUGGGUUUAGAACGUCGUGAGACAGUUCGGUCCCUAUCUGCCGUGGACGUUUGAGAUUUGAGAGGGGCUGCUCCUAGUACGAGAGGACCGGAGUGGACGAACCUCUGGUGUUCCGGUUGUCACGCCAGUGGCAUUGCCGGGUAGCUAUGUUCGGAAAAGAUAACCGCUGAAAGCAUCUAAGCGGGAAACUUGCCUCAAGAUGAGAUCUCACUGGGAACUUGAUUCCCCUGAAGGGCCGUCGAAGACUACGACGUUGAUAGGCUGGGUGUGUAAGCGUUGUGAGGCGUUGAGCUAACCAGUACUAAUUGCCCGUGAGGCUUGACCAU